rnacentral:rRNA from 1 species
AAUAAAGCACAAAUAUUAUCCGCCAGGGAACUACAAGCGCAUUGCUUAAAACCCAACGGACUUGGCGGUGCCCCACACCCACCUAGAGGAGCCUGUUCUAUAACUGACAACCCCCGUUUAACCUCACCACUUCUAGCCCUCCCAGUCUAUAUACCACCGUCGUAAGCUCACCCUGUGAAGGAAACAGCAGUAAGCAAGAUGAGCAUAGCCCAAAACGUCAGGUCGAGGUGUAGCAUAUGAAGUGGGAAGAAAUGGGCUACAUUUUCUGACAAACAGAAUAUACGGACACUACCAUGAAACCUGGUACUCGAAGGAGGAUUUAGCAGUAAAAAGAAAAUAGAGUGUUCUUUUGAAACCGGCCCUGGGGCGCGCACACACCGCCCG